rnacentral:rRNA from 1 species
AUUGAACGCUGGCGGCAUGCCUUACACAUGCAAGUCGAACGGCAGCACGGGAGCAAUCCUGGUGGCGAGUGGCGAACGGGUGAGUAAUAUAUCGGAACGUGCCCAGUCGUGGGGGAUAACGUAGCGAAAGCUACGCUAAUACCGCAUACGAUCUACGGAUGAAAGCGGGGGAUCGCAAGACCUCGCGCGAUUGGAGCGGCCGAUAUCAGAUUAGGUAGUUGGUGAGGUAAAGGCUCACCAAGCCGACGAUCUGUAGCUGGUCUGAGAGGACGACCAGCCACACUGGGACUGAGACACGGCCCAGACUCCUACGGGAGGCAGCAGUGGGGAAUUUUGGACAAUGGGCGCAGGCCUGAUCCAGCAAUGCCGCGUGCAGGAUGAAGGCCUUCGGGUUGUAAACUGCUUUUGUACGGAACGAAACGGUGAGCUCUAAUACAGUUUGCUAAUGACGGUACCGUAAGAAUAAGCACCGGCUAACUACGUG